AUAAAUUAUAUAUAAUUUUUAGAUCAUUAAUUAUUUAAUAUAAUACAAACAUUAUUAAAUUUAGUAAAGGUGUUUAAAAUUUUAUGUUUCACUAUUAACAUUCAAGUACUGUAAAGGAAUAAUAUUAAUAAUAAAAAAGAAAAAAUUAAGUUUUUUACCUUUUGCAUCAUGGUUUAGCUAGAUUUAAAUUGAGUAUAUCCAAUUUCUCGAAAUUUAAUGAGCUAUUUUUAGUUUACAUAUUAGUGUAAAAAAGUAGUUGUAGCAAAAACUUUUUUAAAACUAAAAAUAGAAAUGAAACUUUAUUCGCAUUAAAUGAUAGCUAGUUCUUUUUAAAAUGCAUAUAAGUGCUUAAAAUUGAUUUAUUUUUACAAUAUUUGGUAAAUAUUAGAUUCAAUUUAAUUAAAUUUUUAAGGAUAAGCUUAAGAAUCUUUUUUAAUAAAAAUAUACUGUUAUAUAAUUAAACUUGAGCUUGAAAAUAGCUAUUAUAAAUAAUAAUAGAAUUUGUUACAAUUUCAUUAUUUAUUUAGAUAUAUAAUUGUUUUGUUUUAAACAAAAAGAAAGAAAACCCAAAAAUUGAUUUAGCGUUAUUUUUAUGCUAAAAUGAGUAUUUUAUAAAUUAAUAAUUUUAUAAGUAAAGAAAAUAAAAUUAUAUUAAAAUUUUAUUAAUAAUAAAUCUUAAAAAGGAACUCGGCAAAUAUAUAUUCUGCCUGUUUAUUAAAAACAUGGCUCCUUGUUAAUAAUAAAAUAAGGAGUUGGACCUGCCCAGUGAAAAUUUUCAACGGCCGCGGUACUCUGACCGUGCAAAGGUAGCAUAAUCAUUUGCCUUAUAAUUGAAGGCUAGUAUGAAUGGUUUGACAAGAAUAUAACUGUCUCUUUACGAUUUAUUAGAAUUUUAUUUUAAGGUGAAGAAGCCUUAAUUAAAUUAAUAGACAAGAAGACCCUGUCGAGCUUUAAAAAACUUGAUAGAAUUGAUAUAAAUUGAAAGAAAAAUUGAACUAUCAAAAAUUUUAGUUGGGGCGACUGAGGAACAAAUAGAGCUUCCUUUAAUUAUUUUAAAAUACAUGUAUUUAGAUCCAGAAAUUUUGAUUAAAAAAAUUAGUUACCGCAGGGAUAACAGCAUUAUCUUUUUUAAGAGUUCAUAUCGAAAAAAAGGUUUGUGACCUCGAUGUUGGACCAGAAUAUCCUAAAGAUGUAGAAGUCUUUAAGGGUUGGUCUGUUCGACCAUUAAAAUUCUACGUGAUCUGAGUUUAGACCGGCGUGAGCCAGGUCAGUUUCUAUCUUUAAUUAUUUAAAUAUACUUAGUACGAAAGGACCAGUUUAUUAUAAGGAAUACUAUUAGUUAAGAAAUAAUAUAAUAGGAGUAAUUUAAAAAA
rnacentral:rRNA from 1 species